AUCUUUUUAGUAUAAAAUUUAAUUAUAUUUGACUUCCAAUCAAAAGAUCUUUACAUAAGAAAAGAUA
rnacentral:tRNA from 1 species